GUUUCGGCCACCAUUUUCAUCAGAUUCUGAAACCCAUGCUGUAAUCAGAUCUUAGAAACCUACAAGCAGAAAAACAAUAACAUCUUAUUACAAAUGGAUAAGCAAGAAACACUUUAUUUAAUAACUUUUUAAGAUGCCUGACUUAUGGUAAUGAGCGGUAAAUCUCCAUUUCCAGUAAUUCCUCCUCUUCGAAUCCAUCGCCUGUCUUCACCAUCUGAGGAAGAUUUAUGCGAUUCUGUGGACAUUGGCGAAGGACGAUGACCAGAUCUGAAAAGAAAUUAUAAAGGACUUCUAAAUUCAUGAGGCCAGUGAUGUGCUACUUUUUGAUGACCAGCCACACACGGAGCUGCCACCAACUUAUUUUUUAUUAUUUUGUAAAAGAAAAUUUUUUAAAAUAGACUUAAAUUGUAGCUAAAUAACAUAAAAAAACAAGGAGUCUCUGCAUAGUCUCUAUUACUUAAAAACAAUUCAAGAAAAACGUUAAUAUUUUACCAUCUCAGGGUGGGGUCCCCCCUUAAUUACGAAAGAUCUACAUCAAACAAUUUGUAUUGUAAAUGUUUGAAAUAAAAGUUCAUUUAUAGUGACGAAAAUUUCUAA